CAAAGUAAUCAAGCUCUACAAACCAGCAAGUCAAUAAAAGAUAAAGUGAGUAGGGGAAAAUUAGUGAUGAAAUCUGGGUUUCAAAGAAGGGCCAUCUUUAGAGCAGUUGCUAUUGCAAUUUCUUCUUCUCUAUCUUAUAACAGCAGCUCAAGCAGUCAAAACAAACUACUUUUGAAGAAGCUACUGUACAGCUUGGGAAAGAGCUGGGCAUAGAUUUUGAAGGCAAAGAUGAUGAAGUUAUGAGGAAAAUUAUUGAAAUUGAAGAAAAGGACAUGGAGCAAGCUAUUGCAAAGAGCAAUGGUGCUGGGGCUUAGAAUAGCUUCAAGGGAGGCUCAAGAGUAAAAAAUAUUUUUUAUAAAGAUUUUUUCUUAGAAUAUUAGAGGGCUUGGCAGGCCUGAAAAGAGGAGGCAAGUCAAAGAAGCUAUCAAAGAAAGAAAAGCGGACAUGGUGCUAUUGCAGGAAAUAAAAAAGGGAAAUGUUUCAAAGCAGUUUGUGAAAUCUAUCUGGCCUCAUGAUCUAGUUGGCUACAUGAAUGUGGAUGCUGAUGGGAGGGCUGGAGGUCUGCUUUGUGUUUGGAAGCUUGAAAUUUUCUCUUUAACUAACUGCUGCUGUAACAGGAACUUCAUCCUAUUAUCAGGUACUUUAUUUAAUAGUUUGGAGUGUGUGAUUGUGAAUGUAUAUGCACACAAUGAUGUGAUUGAUAGGAGAAAAUUAUGGGCAUCUUUGAUCAAUAUUAAGGCUAUUUUCCCCAAACCUUGGUGUGUAAGGGGGGACUUUAAUGAAAUAAAAUCACUAGAUGAAAGGAAAGGUUGUGUAAGAAGGAAUAGGGAAAUGACAGAUUUUGGUAACUUCAUAAGCAGCCUGGCUUUGAUUGUUGGAAAGGAAAUAUACAUUGUGUAAUUCAAUGAAAGAUGAGAGAUGGAGCAGGUUAGACAGGUUCCAUGUUAGCCCAAAAUGGUUGGGAUGGUUUAGAUACAAACUCUGGGGUCUGCCUAGAUCCAUCUCAGAUCACUGUCCAAUUAUCCUGAUGGAGGAUGAGAGAAAUUGGGGCCCAAAGCCUUUUAGAUUCAUCAAUGCGUGGGCAUCUCACCCUUCUUUCAUGCAUGAAGUGAAAAAAGUAUGGGAGGGUACUCAGGUAGAUGGUUAGGCAAGUUACAAACUAAAAACCAAGCUGAAGGCACUUAAACAAGCUUUAAAGAAGUGGAAUUGAAGUGUUUGAGAAUAUGGACUCUAAACUGAAGCAAGCUGAAGAACAAUUACAUGCCUUGGAUUUAACUGCUAAGAGUAGAAACCUGGAUGAAGAUGAAGGUAGGAAGAGAAGAGAGUUGAGUGGGGAAGUGUGGAAGCUCAGAAGAUGAUGGAAAGAAUUUGGCUACAAAAGUCAAGGCUGAAUUGGAACUAAAAAGGAGAUAAAAACACUAAUAUUUUUCACGUCAUAGCUACGAAAAGAUAGAAUAUUAAGGAAAUUGACUUUAUGACAGUGAAUGGGGCAGCAGUGAAGCAUCCUAUAGAGGUGAAACAAGCUGUGUAUAAUCACUUCUGGUUUAGCUUUAAUGAACAAUGGAAGUCCAAACCCAAGCUACUGGGCCCAUUUAAAGUGAUUCAACAGAGCCAGCAUUUCAGUAGUUUGGAAAUGGAAUUUCUAAAGAUGAAAUUUGGGCUGCAGUUACAAUUUGUGAUAGCAACAAGGCACCUAGUUCUGAUGGGUUUAACAUGACCUGCUACCAAAAAGGGUGGAAAUUCAUGAAAGGUGAUAUCCUCACUUUCCUGCAGGAAUUCUAUAUCAACAGUAGUUUGGUUGGAAGCUUAAAUAGUUCCAUCAUUACUUUCGUCCCUAAAAAAGACAACCCUUCAGGCAUUCUAGACUACAGGCCUAUUAGUCUUAUAAACUCCACAUAUAAAAUUAUUUCCAAGGUUCUUACUAAUAGAUUGAAAAAAGUUCUUCUUGUUGUUAUAGAUAAUGUCCAAUUUGCAUUUCUAUGGCGAAAAAAUAUUUUGGAUGGUGUAUUGAUAGCUAAUGAGAUGGUGGACUGGUGGAAGAAACCUAGAAGAAAGGGAUUGAUAUUGAAGUUCGACUUCUAAAAAGCACACACAGUAAAUUGGAACUUUCUUAUCCAAAUGCUAUCUAAUUUUGGUUUUGGUUCUAAGUGGGCAAAUUGGAUCUAUACCUGCAUUUCUUCAACUAAAAUUUCUGUGUUGGUAAAUGGUUCACCCACACCUAAAUUUUGCCCUAAAAAAGGACUAAGGCAAGGCGAUCCAUUAUCACUUUUCCUAUUUAACGUGGUAGUUGAAGGCCUAAACUUAUUACUUACAAGAGCAAAAAAGUUGGGCUUGGUUAAAGGGAUAACCAUUGGGUUCAAUGGCAUGAAUAUUUCCCAUCUCCAGUUUGCGGAUGACACAAUUAUUUUCUGUGAAACUGAGUGGCCUGACGUGUUAAUUGUGAAGAGAAUACUCAAAUGCUUUGAGAUUAUUUCUGGGUUGAGGAUCAAUUUUCACAAGAGUGUUAUAUGUGGUAUAGGCAUUCCUAAUGAUAUUGUGCAAACUUUUGCUUCAAGACUGAAUUGUACCUACCAAAAGCUCCUUUUGAAGUACCUUGGAAUGCCAUUAGGGGCCAAUCCAUCAAGAAGAGUAACAUCGAAGCCUGUGGUGGAGAAAUUCAAGAAGAAACUAACAAGUUGGAAAAUGAGGUUGUUGUCCUUUGCAAGUAGAGUAACACUAAUCAGAUCUGUACUAUCCUCACUACCUGUUUAUUACAUGUAUCUGUUGAGGUUGCCUAGUAGUGUAGGAAAAGAGAUUGAUAAGAUUCAAGCAGCUUUCCUGUGGAGAGAUUUUGAGGUCAAGAAAAAAGUCCACCUGGUGAAAUGGAAGGAUUUAACCAAGGAUAAAAAGCAAUGAGGGUUGGGGAUUAGAAACUUAAGAGUUGUAAACACUAGCUUGCUUGUUAAGUGGUGGUGGCAAUUUGGGAUGGAAGACAACUCAUUAUGGAAACAGCUCAUCUACAGUAAGUACAAGUCAGAGGGGGAUAGAUGGCUUCCUUUUCAUGUGGAGGCAAACAAUAUUUUACGAUUGUGGAGUGACAUUCUACUUGUUAAUGAAUCUAAUAACAGUGUGUUCAACCAUUAUUUGCACAAUGCCGAAUUCAAGAUUGGCAACGGUGAAAGAAUUAGUUUCUGGGUUGAUAAUUGGAUGGGAACCAGUUGUUUGAAGUCCUAAUUUCCUAGAUUAUACUACUUAUCAGUGGAAAGAGACAUAUCCUUGUAUAUGCAAUGGUCUAGGGCCAGAAAUCAGAUCAGUUGGGCAUUCAAUGUCAAAGGACCCUUAUUGGCAUAAGAGGAAAAUGAACUACAAAGACUUCAUGAUGUUCUAGAAGAGGGUCCUGAAUUGAGAUUGGAUUCUAAUGAUAGUCUUUUGUGGGAAGCUGAUCCCUCAGGUAUUUUAAGUGUUAAAGGCGCUGUUAACUGGUGUGAAUUAUCUUAUGAUCCGGCUCUAAAACUUCCUGAUUUGAUCUGGCACAAUCCCUCUCCACCUAAAGCCCAAUUUCUCUCUUGGUUAGUCUGGAAAGGGAGGUUAAAGAUUUCAGAUUAUUUACAUAGAAUUGGUAUCCUAAGUAAUGAAGUCUGUAAUGAGUGUGUGCUUUGUCAUGUGAAGAUUGAAUCACUUAAUCAUGUUAUAUUGAUUUGCCCCUUUGCUUGGAAAGUAUAGUCUACCAUAAUCAAGUGGUGGGGUUUGCAAUGGGUCUCCCCUAGUUCAGUGGACAUGCUAGGUUGGACUUAUAGAAAAAAGGAGAAACAAUUGUGGAGAUUAGUUUUGAUUACUGGUUUGUGGUCCCUUUGGAAAUGCAGGAAUGACUGCUUGUUCAAUGAGUUACAGCCCAUUUGUAAUGGCCUUUGUGAGUUAAUUAAAAUUAGAGUGGCCCUUUGGAUGAAAGCACAUUCAUUUGGGCAAGGUAUGCGGCGGAUGAGUUUGUUUACAAUAUUCAACAAGUUAAAAGCUGCUUAUAGUUCCUCUGCUGAGUCUGUGUGUACUAAUCUGCUGCUAUGAUCUGUUUGCUGUCAGUAGAGGGCUGUAGAGCAUUGGGCUGCUAUUACUGGUUUGUUUUGCGUCUGUUAUUCUGUUUGCUACAGGUGGUGUUUGCUAAUUAUGUUGAUUGUUUGUUGCUGCUGUAGAAUUUUGCUGUAGAAUUAAGAUUGUCUGCUGCUAUAUGUUGCUGUCUUGGCCUGCUGUAUGUUGUUGCUGAAGAAUUAUGCUUUGGAGCUGGUGAAGAAUUAUGUUGAUUGUUUUUUUUUACUGUGUUGUUCUGUUUUUUAGGCUUUUGGUUGCUCUUGAUUGGCUUCUCACCAAUCUUGGGUCAAGUGCUUGCAUAUGAUUGUGCUUCAUUUGCAACCUAGUUGGGAUUGUGAAAGUUAGUUAUGAUGCUCAGUGCACUUCCCUGAUUUGUUGA